rnacentral:rRNA from 1 species
AAUUGUUAGUGGCAGACGGGUGAGUAAUGCGUAGGAAUCUACCUAGUAGUACGGAAUAGCCAUUAGAAAUGGUGGGUAAUACUGUAUAAUCCCCGAGGGGGAAAGAUUUAUCGCUAUUAGAUGAGCCUACGUUAGAUUAGCUAGUUGGUGAGGUAAUGGCUUACCAAGGCUAUGAUCUAUAGCUGGUCUGAGAGGACGAUCAGCCACACUGGAACUGAGAUACGGUCCAGACUCCUACGGGAGGCAGCAGUGGGGAAUAUUGGACAAUGGGCGAAAGCCUGAUCCAGCUAUGCCGCGUGAGUGAAGAAGGCCUUCGGGUUGUAAAACUCUUUCAAUAGGGAAGAUAAUG